rnacentral:rRNA from 1 species
AUUGAACGCUGGAGGCGUGCUUAACGCAUGCAAGUCGUGCGAGAAAGGGACUUCGGUCCUGAGUAGAGCGGCGCACGGGUGAGUAACGCGUGGGUAAUCUCCCUUGGUGAUCGGGAUAACAGCGGGAAACUGCUGCUAAUGCCGGAUAAUCUUCAUGUUUAACUUCAUGGGGUAAAGGUGGCCUCUGCUUGCAAGCUACCACACCGAGAUGAGCCCGCGUCUCAUUAGCUAGUUGGUAGGGUAAUGGCCUACCAAGGCUACGAUGAGUAGCUGGUCUGAGAGGAUGACCAGCCACACUGGGACUGGAACACGGCCCAGACUCCUACGGGAGGCAGCAGUGGGGAAUAUUGCGCAAUGGGCGAAAGCCUGACGUAGCGACGCCUCGUGAGGGAUGAAGGUCUUCGGAUCGUAAACCUCUGUCAAGAGGGAAGAAACCCUUGGAUUCGAAUAGGGUCCUUGGCUGACGGUACCUCAAAAGGAAGCACCGGCUAACUCCGUGCCAGCAGCCGCGGUAA